GACGAACGCUGGCGGCGUGCUUAACACAUGCAAGUCGAACGGAAAGGCCCUGCUUUUGUGGGGUGCUCGAGUGGCGAACGGGUGAGUAACACGUGAGUAACCUGCCCUUGACUUUGGUAUAACUUCAGGAAACUGGGGCUAAUACCGUAUAGGAGCUCCUGCUGCAUGGUGGGGGUUGGAAAGUCUCGGCGGUUGGGGAUGGACUCGCGGCUUAUCAGCUUGUUGGUGGGGUAGUGGCUUACCAAGGCUUUGACGGGUAGCCGGCCUGAGAGGGUGACCGGCCACAUUGGGACUGAGAUACGGCCCAGACUCCUACGGGAGGCAGCAGUGGGGAAUAUUGCACAAUGGGCGGAAGCCUGAUGCAGCAACGCCGCGUGCGGGAUGACGGCCUUCGGGUUGUAAACCGCUUUCGCCUGUGACGAAGCGUGAGUGACGGUAAUGGGUAAAGAAGCACCGGCUAACUACGUG
rnacentral:rRNA from 1 species